ACAACUUUCAACAACGGAUCUCUUGGCUCUCGCAUCGAUGAAGAACGCAGCGAAAUGCGAUAAGUAAUGUGAAUUGCAGAAUUCAGUGAAUCAUCGGAAUCUUUGAACGCACCUUGCGCUCCUUGGUAUUCCGAGGAGCAUGCCUGUUUGAGUGUCAUUAA
rnacentral:rRNA from 1 species